rnacentral:rRNA from 1 species
GACGAACGCUGGCGGCGUGCUUAACACAUGCAAGUCGAACGGAAAGGCCCUGCUUGCAGGGUGCUCGAGUGGCGAACGGGUGAGUAACACGUGGGUGAUCUGCCCCUUAUUUUGGGAUAAGCCUGGGAAAAUGGGUCUAAUACUGGAUAGGACCCUGCUGGAGGUGGUGGGGUGGGAAGAUUAGUUUCGGUAAGGGAUGAGCUCGCGGCCUAUCAGCUUGUUGGUGGGGUAAUGGCCUACCAAGGCGUCGACGGGUAGCCGGCCUGAGAGGGUGGACGGCCACAUUGGGACUGAGAUACGGCCCAGACUCCUACGGGAGGCAGCAGUGGGGAAUAUUGCACAAUGGGCGCAAGCCUGAUGCAGCGACGCCGCGUGGGGGAUGACGGCCUUCGGGUUGUAAACUCCUUUCAGCCAUGACGAAGCCCUUGUGGUGACGGUAGUGGUAGAAGAAGCACCGGCUAACUACGUG